rfam:Sphaerobolus stellatus SS14 unplaced genomic scaffold SPHSTscaffold_15, whole genome shotgun sequence.
ACUGGGGUGGGGUAGUGGUAACCUGCAUGCUUCCCAAGAAGUAAAUUCAUAGCAUGCGCGCCGGGUUCGAUUCCCGGUCCUAGUA